rnacentral:rRNA from 1 species
GAUGAACGCUAGCUACAGGCUUAACACAUGCAAGUCGCGGGGCAGCAUGGGGGUUGCUUGCAAUCCCCGAUGGCGACCGGCGCACGGGUGAGUAACGCGUAUUCAACCUGCCCUUCACCACGGGAUAACCCGGCGAAAGUCGGACUAAUACCGUAUGUUGUCCAUUGACGGCAUCCGAUUUGGACGAAAGGCUUGGCGGUGAGGGAUGGGGAUGCGUCCGAUUAGCCAGACGGCGGGGUAACGGCCCACCGUGGCUACGAUCGGUAGGGGUUCUGAGAGGAAGGUCCCCCACACUGGAACUGAGACACGGUCCAGACUCCUACGGGAGGCAGCAGUGAGGAAUAUUGGUCAAUGGGCGUAAGCCUGAACCAGCCAAGUAGCGUGCAGGAUGACGGCCCUAUGGGUUGUAAACUGCUUUUAUGCGGGGAUAAAGUGGCCCACGUGUGGGCUUUUGCAGGUACCGCAUGAAUAAGGACCGGCUAAUUCCG